UACGUAGGGACCGAGCGUUGUCCGGAAUCAUUGGGCGUAAAGAGCGUGUAGGCGGCCCCUUAAGUCCUGCGUGAAAUCCUGCGGCUCAACCGCAGACGGUCGUGGGAAACUGGAGGGCUAGAGUGCGGGAGAGGAGAGUGGAAUUCCCGGUGUAGCGGUGAAAUGCGCAGAUAUCGGGAAGAACACCCGUGGCGAAGGCGGCUCUCUGGAACGCAACUGACGCUGAGGAGCGAAAGCGUGGGGAGCGAACAGG
rnacentral:rRNA from 1 species